rnacentral:rRNA from 1 species
GAUGAACGCUAGCUACAGGCUUAACACAUGCAAGUCGCGGGGCAGCAUGGGGGUUGCUUGCAAUCCCCGAUGGCGACCGGCGCACGGGUGAGUAACGCGUAUCCAACCUGCCCUUCACCACGGGAUAACCCGGCGAAAGUCGGACUAAUACCGUAUGUUGUCCAUUGACGGCAUCCGAUUUGGACGAAAGGUUUGGCGGUGAAGGCUGGGGAUGCGUCCGAUUAGCUGGACGGCGGGGUGACGGCCCACCGGGGCGACGAUCGGGAGGGGUUCUGAGAGGACGGUCCCCCACACUGGAACUGGGACACGGUCCAGACUCCUACGGGAGGCAGCAGUGAGGAAUAUUGGUCAAUGGGCGUAAGCCUGAACCAGCCAAGUAGCGUGCAGGAUGACGGCCCUAUGGGUUGUAAACUGCUUUUAUGCGGGGAUAAAGUGGCCCACGUGUGGGUUUUUGCAGGUACCGCAUGAAUAAGGACCGGCUAAUUCCGUG